GUAUUCAUAUGGCUGUUUACUCAAUUGGAAAAGUACGUGUCAUCUCAUAGCAUUGGUACAUUCAAGACACAUUAAUGCAUAAACUACUAUCGUCCUAGCAAUGAUGAGAUAGAGGAUAAUUUCUUGGACAAGAAACUCCCAUCUUUGCCUCAUUUGAUUCUAGUGUAUAUAUUGAGUAACUGGUAUUUCAUUGGGGUGGACAAGGUCUGUGACUGUUGUUGUCGACAAGAACUGUCUGGCUUGCUGCAUUCUGAGUGUUCUGACCAUUACUAAUGGCCAUGUGAAGUACGGUAUUUGUUAGUCUGCAUGUUAAUGUGGCAGCUAUGGCAGAACCUAACAUCUGUGGUUGUACUUAGAAAUGUGAGAGCGUUACCUGGGCCAUCAAGCUACACCUGGUACUGAAAUAAUCCAGGUAGCCAAGCAUGGUGUUUGUCCUUUUGUUGGCUAUGUCACAUUACUGGUUGAUGACACUUGAAAGACACCAUGUAUUUGAGACAAUAGCAAAAUCAACAUGGUCCUUAAUACUUCUAAAAUGAUCUGUUGCCAGCCAGCUGACAGUUGUUUGGCUGAAAUUCUUUGUCAACA